rnacentral:lncRNA from 1 species
AAAAAAAUUCCGAACGAUAUGUCAAAUUAUUCACAAAAGUGAAUAAAUCGAUAUGUGAAUCAUCUCGGGCGAAUGUUCUGGACGGGACCUGUUCGCGACCAUCCCAGGUCGAGAGGGUGGAGAAAAAGGGAUGAUUGGGUACGAUAGAUUUUCUUUCGACUGAAGGACCUUUUCAAUAAGAAAAAUCGAGAUAUUACAAAAUCCCAGCUUGACGAGUUUGAUAUUCGAAAACCUAUUGAUAACCGAAAUAGCGAGAACCCCAAUGCACACGCUAUUUCAGGACAAAAUCUUAAAUUUCCAAUAUUUUGAUUAAACUCCAUAUUGACUUGAAAAUUACAAAAGAAAGCUUGGAAAAGAAUUUUAAAUGAUUAUUUAAAAUACGUAAAUUUUUAGCUUUUUGUUUGUAAUUUUACGUUGAUGUAGGAAAUAAUGCAACCUCAUCUUCAGGAAUAAAAGUCGCGAUCAUUAAAAAGCUACAACAAUGCUGUAUUGAACUGGCAAAUAUUUGUGAAACAAUGGAAAAUAAAUCAGAAUGUCGAAACUGACGAAGGUUGACAAUGCAACAUUGCGAAAAAAGCCUACCCGAUUUUUUAUCAGUUGACAUUUCCUCUCACAUAUGGUUUUCUUGUGAGGUUUCUAGCCUAGCCAUUUGACUGGUCAAAAUUUUAACUAUUCUAAUGUUCGGUAAGAGAAUUCGGUCGGUUGGAUUUCAAUUAUUUGAUUCUCCCGUAUUACAGAAUGCCUGCGAUUGCAGGUUCAUCAGAGGAAAAGGAAAUUUCUCAAAACGGGCCAUGGAAUGGAGUGAUUUUUGAAAUUUGAUGAUCUCGGAAAAUGCCUCCCCGUUCACCUAGCGACGAUAGCAACGAUGACUCGCUAUGCUGUCCAAUGAAAUGCAUAUUAUGUUUAAUAUUUGCUGGGUUUAUGGCCGGAGUCGGGUACUUUUCCUUUUGCACCAUAUCAGAAAAGUGCUAAAAUGUAAUUUCCAUUGAGUUUGCAACUCGUCGUAAGAAGGGAAUGCCAUUUCUUCAAGCCAGUGGAUAUAUACUUGUUAAGUUUUUUGUAGAAUACAUAGAAAAUAAAACUACAGAUGCUUUUCCAAUUGA